rnacentral:rRNA from 1 species
GGUUAAGCGACUAAGCGUACACGGUGGAUGCCCUGGCAGUCAGAGGCGAUGAAGGACGUGCUAAUCUGCGAAAAGCGUCGGUAAGGUGAUAUGAACCGUUAUAACCGGCGAUGUCCGAAUGGGGAAACCCAGUGCAAUUCGUUGCACUAUCGUUAACUGAAUACAUAGGUUAACGAGGCGAACCGGGGGAACUGAAACAUCUAAGUACCCCGAGGAAAAGAAAUCAACCGAGAUUCCCCCAGUAGCGGCGAGCGAACGGGGAGCAGCCCAGAGUCUGAAUCAGCUUGUGUGUUAGUGGAACGGUCUGGAAAGUCCGACGGUACAGGGUGAUAGUCCCGUACACCAAAAUGCACAGGUUGUGAACUCGAAGAGUAGGGCGGGACACGUGGUAUCCUGUCUGAAUAUGGGGGACCAUCCUCCAAGGCUAAAUACUCCUGACUGACCGAUAGUGAACCAGUACCGUGAGGGAAAGGCGAAAAGAACCCCGGCGAGGGGAGUGAAAAAGAACCUGAAACCGUGUACGUACAAGCAGUGGGAGCACCUUCGGGUGUGACUGCGUACCUUUUGUAUAAUGGGUCAGCGACUUAUAUUCUGUAGCAAGGUUAACCGUAUAGGGGAGCCGCAGGGAAACCGAGUCUUAACUGGGCGUUAAGUUGCAGGGUAUAGACCCGAAACCCGGUGAUCUAGCCAUGGGCAGGUUGAAGGUUGGGUAACACUAACUGGAGGACCGAACCGACUAAUGUUGAAAAAUUAGCGGAUGACUUGUGGCUGGGGGUGAAAGGCCAAUCAAACCGGGAGAUAGCUGGUUCUCCCCGAAAGCUAUUUAGGUAGCGCCUCGUGAAUUCAUCUUCGGGGUAGAGCACUGUUUCGGCUAGGGGGUCAUCCCGACUUACCAACCCGAUGCAAACUACGAAUACCGAAGAAUGUUAUCACGGGAGACACACGGCGGGUGCUAACGUCCGUCGUGAAGAGGGAAACAACCCAGACCGCCAGCUAAGGUCCCAAAGUCAUGGUUAAGUGGGAAACGAUGUGGGAAGGCACAGACAGCCAGGAUGUUGGCUUAGAAGCAGCCAUCAUUUAAAGAAAGCGUAAUAGCUCACUGGUCGAGUCGGCCUGCGCGGAAGAUGUAACGGGGCUAAACCAUGCACCGAAGCUGCGGCAGCGACACUAUGUGUUGUUGGGUAGGGGAGCGUUCUGUAAGCCUGCGAAGGUGACCUGUGAGGGUUGCUGGAGGUAUCAGAAGUGCGAAUGCUGACAUAAGUAACGAUAAAGCGGGUGAAAAGCCCGCUCGCCGGAAGACCAAGGGUUCCUGUCCAACGUUAAUCGGGGCAGGGUGAGUCGACCCCUAAGGCGAGGCCGAAAGGCGUAGUCGAUGGGAAACAGGUUAAUAUUCCUGUACUUGGUGUUACUGCGAAGGGGGGACGGAGAAGGCUAUGUUAGCCGGGCGACGGUUGUCCCGGUUUAAGCAUGUAGGCUGGUUGUCCAGGCAAAUCCGGAUAAUCAAGGCUGAGGUGUGAUGACGAGGCACUACGGUGCUGAAGUAACAAAUGCCCUGCUUCCAGGAAAAGCCUCUAAGCAUCAGGUAACAUCAAAUCGUACCCCAAACCGACACAGGUGGUCAGGUAGAGAAUACCAAGGCGCUUGAGAGAACUCGGGUGAAGGAACUAGGCAAAAUGGUGCCGUAACUUCGGGAGAAGGCACGCUGGUGUGUAGGUGAAGUCCCUGCGGAUGGAGCUGAGACCAGUCGAAGAUACCAGCUGGCUGCAACUGUUUAUUAAAAACACAGCACUGUGCAAACACGAAAGUGGACGUAUACGGUGUGACGCCUGCCCGGUGCCGGAAGGUUAAUUGAUGGGGUUAUCCGUAAGGAGAAGCUCUUGAUCGAAGCCCCGGUAAACGGCGGCCGUAACUAUAACGGUCCUAAGGUAGCGAAAUUCCUUGUCGGGUAAGUUCCGACCUGCACGAAUGGCGUAAUGAUGGCCAGGCUGUCUCCACCCGAGACUCAGUGAAAUUGAACUCGCUGUGAAGAUGCAGUGUACCCGCGGCAAGACGGAAAGACCCCGUGAACCUUUACUAUAGCUUGACACUGAACAUUGAGCCUUGAUGUGUAGGAUAGGUGGGAGGCUUUGAAGCGUGGACGCCAGUCUGCGUGGAGCCAACCUUGAAAUACCACCCUUUAAUGUUUGAUGUUCUAACGUUGGCCCCUUACCGGGGUUGCGGACAGUGUCUGGUGGGUAGUUUGACUGGGGCGGUCUCCUCCCAAAGCGUAACGGAGGAGCACGAAGGUUAGCUAAUCCUGGUCGGACAUCAGGAGGUUAGUGCAAUGGCAUAAGCUAGCUUGACUGCGAGCGUGACGGCGCGAGCAGGUGCGAAAGCAGGUCAUAGUGAUCCGGUGGUUCUGAAUGGAAGGGCCAUCGCUCAACGGAUAAAAGGUACUCCGGGGAUAACAGGCUGAUACCGCCCAAGAGUUCAUAUCGACGGCGGUGUUUGGCACCUCGAUGUCGGCUCAUCACAUCCUGGGGCUGAAGUAGGUCCCAAGGGUAUGGCUGUUCGCCAUUUAAAGUGGUACGCGAGCUGGGUUUAGAACGUCGUGAGACAGUUCGGUCCCUAUCUGCCGUGGGCGCUGGAGAAUUGAGGGGGCUGCUCCUAGUACGAGAGGACCGGAGUGGACGCAUCACUGGUGUUCGGGUUGUCAUGCCAAUGGCACUGCCCGGUAGCUAAAUGCGGAAGAGAUAAGUGCUGAAAGCAUCUAAGCACGAAACUUGCCCCGAGAUGAGUUCUCCCUGAGACUUUAAGUCUCCUGAAGGAACGUUAAAGACGAUGACGUUGAUAGGCCGGGUGUGUAAGCGCAGCGAUGCGUUGAGCUAACCGGUACUAAUGAACCGUGAGGCUUAACCUU